UCAUUUGCAUAUGCCAUAUAAGGUAGUAUUUACAUCAAUGGACAAGUAUGGAGGCGAAAGCUAUUUCGUCGGUAUUGAAAAGGUUUGAAUUUAAUAUCAAGUUAAAAACCGAACAGCAGAGUGUAAAUUCUUUCUGCAACAAUAUGAUUUUCCUCUCUUUGUCGAAGUGGCUCGAGUAACUACAUGUUCUCGCUGAUUGUCAAUGUUUAGGUUUUUCAUUAGAUCCACUUACGAGAUCUCGCGAUAACAAGCACGGCGGAGCAGACGAAGAAUUUUGCAUGCUGUACAUUAUAUUUAAUGAAAAACACCUUUAUUAGACAUGCCCGAGCACAAAGUUGGUACUCCUUUUGGUGUAAACAACAUUUGGGACUAAUACCACUGUCAUGAUCGUGUGCAGGAUUGGACAAAACAAGAUGGCAGACGGCAUUUCUUAAACAAAGAUCCAGUCAGGAGCGGACUUCCUUAAGCUUAAAAGUUGCAAGUGAAUGAAGUGUGUUCUAUUUUAUGUCUCCUACUAAAACCAUGGUUUUGACAAACCUAAAAGAGCACGUGGAGCAAGGAACUAUCAGUAAGCCGGAAGAGCCAGCUCGAAAAUCUUUAAGUGUUUGAGAAUUUCACCGCGCACAUGAAUCUAAAGUUCUGCCACACGUUAGAAGGAGCCUUGUUCUCGAAGAUCAACGUGUUGAAAAGUCUUCAUUUUUCAGAAGCAAAUACAUUUAUAUUGUAUAUACACAUGUAAACCAUGUUCGAUUCCCAACCACUUAACGUUUGUGAUAUCUGCAUGGAAUUAUUAAAACUGAGCAUGGUUUGACGUAUAAUAAUCUCUUCAGGCAUGAUGGUUUACAUUUCACAAAGCUGUUCAAUGACAAUAAAGACUAUAAGAUGU